CCCGCCAUUUUCCCGUCAUCAGAUUCUGGCACGCCCGGCAUGGAGGGCCAAGUGCAGCAGUUUGUGACCCUUCGCUUCGGUGACCUUUGGCUUAAUGUGCCAAUUGGUCCUAUCGUGACCUCACUAAGUGAAAGCUGGAAGACUACUGCCGCAUCUCCAGUUGUAGCAGAUCAAGAAGAAGUCACUUCUCCACCAAUGGAGGGGUUCACACCUGUUUUGUCAAAGUCUGCAAAGAGAAAAAUGAGGGCUGCUAGAAAGAGGGUUGCUCAGAGCUCUGCACGAAGAUCAUGUUUUAAAAGAAAUGAAGCAUGGGUUAGGAUAUGA
rnacentral:rRNA from 1 species